UACGUAGGGUGCGAGCGUUAAUCGGAAUUACUGGGCGUAAAGCGUGCGCAGGCGGUUUUGUAAGCCAGAUGUGAAAUCCCCGGGCUUAACCUGGGAAUGGCAUUUGGGACUGCAAGGCUCGAGUGCGGCAGAGGAGACUGGAAUUCCUGGUGUAGCAGUGAAAUGCGUAGAUAUCAGGAGGAACACCUGUGGCGAAAGCGGCUCACUGGACCACACUGACGCUGAUGCACGAAAGCUAGGGGAGCAAACAGG
rnacentral:rRNA from 1 species